rnacentral:rRNA from 1 species
UGUGACCAUACCAAACUGUUGCCUCGGCGGGGUCACGCCCCGGGUGCGUCGCAGCCCCGGAACCAGGCGCCCGCCGGAGGGACCAACCAAACUCUUUUCUGUAGUCCCCUCGCGGACGUUAUUUCUUACAGCUCUGAGCAAAAAUUCAAAAUGAAUCAAAACUUUCAACAACGGAUCUCUUGGUUCUGGCAUCGAUGAAGAACGCAGCGAAAUGCGAUAAGUAAUGUGAAUUGCAGAAUUCAGUGAAUCAUCGAAUCUUUGAACGCACAUUGCGCCCGCCAGUAUUCUGGCGGGCAUGCCUGUCCGAGCGUCAUUUCAACCCUCGAACCCCUCCGGGGGGUCGGCGUUGGGGACCUCGGGAGCCCCUAAGACGGGAUCCCGGCCCCGAAAUACAGUGGCGGUCUCGCCGCAGCCUCUCCUGCGCAGUAGUUUGCACAACUCGCACCGGGAGCGCGGCGCGUCCACGUCCGUAAAACACCCAACUUCUGAAAUGUUGACCUCGGAUCAGGUAGGAAUACCCGCUGAACUUAAGCAUAUCAAUAAGCGGA